rnacentral:rRNA from 1 species
ACGGGAGGCAGCAGUGAGGAAUAUUGGUCAAUGGGCGAGAGCCUGAACCAGCCAAGUCGCGUGAAGGAUGAAGGUUCUAUGGAUUGUAAACUUCUUUUAUUCGAGGGUAAAGUGGCGGACGUGUCCGUUAUUGCAAGUAUCGAAUGAAUAAGCAUCGGCUAACUCCGUGCCAGCAGCCGCGGUAAUACGGAGGAUGCGAGCGUUAUCCGGAUUUAUUGGGUUUAAAGGGUGCGUAGGCGGGCGAUUAAGUCAGCGGUGAAAGCGUGUGGCUCAACCAUACCAAGCCGUUGAAACUGGUUGUCUUGAGUGUAAACGAGGUAGGCGGAAUGUGACGUGUAGCGGUGAAAUGCUUAGAUAUGUCACAGAACCCCGAUUGCGAAGGCAGCUUACCAGCAUACGACUGACGCUGAGGCACGAAAGUGUGGGGAUCAAACAGGAUUAGAUACCCUGGUA